AUUGAACGCUGGCGGCAUGCUUUACACAUGCAAGUCGAACGGCAGCGCGGGCUUCGGCCUGGCGGCGAGUGGCGAACGGGUGAGUAAUGCAUCGGAACGUGCCCAGUAGUGGGGGAUAGCCCGGCGAAAGCCGGAUUAAUACCGCAUACGACCUGAGGGUGAAAGCGGGGGACCGAAAGGCCUCGCGCCAUUGGAGCGGCCGCUGUCGGAUUCGCUAGUUGGUGGGGUAAAGGCUUACCAAGGCGCCGAUCCGUAGCUGGUCUGAGAGGACGACCAGCCACACUGAGUCUGAGACACGGCCCAGACCCCUACGGGAGGCAGCAGUGGGGAAUUUUGGACAAUGGGGGCAACCCUGAUCCAGCCAUGCCGCGUGCGGGAAGAAGGCCUUCGGGUUGUAAACCGCUUUUGUUCGGGAAGAAAUUCUCUGGGCUAAUACCCCGGGGGGAUGACGGUACCUGAAGAAUAAGCACCGGCUAACUACGU
rnacentral:rRNA from 1 species